rnacentral:rRNA from 1 species
AUGCAAGCUGAUGCCGACGCUGGUCUUGUGCCUACAUAUGUGUGUGCCACGGUGGGCACCACGUCUUCCAAUGUUGUCGACCCGGUGGGCGCCGUCGUAGACAUUGCCGCCAUGUUCAAUGCAUGGGUCCACGUCGAUGCUGCCUACGCUGGCAGCGCAUGUAUAUGCCCGGAGUUUCGCCACCAUCUUGACGGUGUUGAGCGCGUGGACUCCAUUAGCAUGAGCCCACACAAAUGGCUUCUCACAUGCCUCGAUUGCACCUGCCUUUACGUCCGUGAUGCUCAUCGGCUAAGCGACUCGUUGGAGACCAACCCAGAGUACCUCAAGAACGAUGCUACCGAGUCCGGUGAGGUCACUGAUCUUAAUUAA